GGAUUUGUGUGGGUCCAUAUGGGAUUGUGUGGGUCUCAGUGGCUCCAUAUGGGAUUCCGUGGGUCCAUUUGGGAUUCCGUGGGUCUCAGUGGGUCCACAUGGGAUUCUGUGGCUCCAUAUGGGAUUCUGUGGCUCCAUAUGGGAUUGUGUGGCUCCAUAUGGGAUUGCGUGGGUCCAUACAGGAUUCCGUGGGUCUCAGUGGGUCCAUAUGGGAUUGUGUGGGUCCAUAUGGGAUUCCGUGGGUCUCAGUGGGUCCAUAUGGGAUUGUGUGGGUCCAUAUGGGAUUGUG
rnacentral:lncRNA from 1 species